AGCGAACGCUGGCGGCAGGCCUAACACAUGCAAGUCGAACGAACCUUUCGGGGUUGGUGGCGGACGGGUGAGUAACACGUGGGAACGUGCCUUUAGGUUCGGAAUAACUCAGGGAAACUUGUGCUAAUACCGAAUGUGCCCUUCGGGGGAAAGAUUUAUCGCCUUUAGAGCGGCCCGCGUCUGAUUAGCUAGUUGGUUGAGGUAAUGGCUCACCAAGGCGACGAUCAGUAGCUGGUCUGAGAGGAUGAUCAGCCACAUUGGGACUGAGACACGGCCCAAACUCCUACGGGAGGCAGCAGUGGGGAAUCUUGCGCAAUGGGCGAAAGCCUGACGCAGCCAUGCCGCGUGAAUGAUGAAGGUCUUAGGAUUGUAAAAUUCUUUCACCGGGGACGAUAAUGACGGUACCCGGAGAAGAAGCCCCGGCUAACUUCGUG
rnacentral:rRNA from 1 species